UCAGUUCUUGCUUAUUUGGUCUAUUGGUCUGGUGUUGUUAUCUUGCAGGGAAUAUCAACCAUUACAAAGAUCACAAGUGGAUAAACUAGAACAAAAUACGGCAAAUUAAUGUGUUUUCCUGCCAUGUAUUCCCCAGUGCGCAUGCGUAGUGGACAGCAGAGCGACUUAUUCUGCAAUGAGAUAUUUCUCGCAACACAUGCACGUGGGACUAUUCGGUCUUCCUGCCGCGGAAAAGGCACUGUAAAGAAAGUGUGAUGUGAGGGGUGGAAGCGUCUGAGGGUCCGCCACCGCGACCAAAGGAGGCGGACACAGCAUAAGGGAUGCCCCAGAGAUGUCAAGCCGCGCGGUUUAUGAAAGCGCAACUGUAACACCAACAGUUUGGCCGCCAUCUCACUCUCUGCCUUCAUCUGGAUCUGUAACUCAAGCUCCUUCUCCACCUGCUUCCUGUGGGCACUCUCCUCCUCCAGCUGCAACUUGAGGUCCUGCAUCUCCUCCUCACAGCCAAUCACACUCACACGAUUUGCCUUCUGGGCCUGCCAUGAGGGAGUGGAAAGAGUAGCUGUUAAUAAUGAGAUCAACUCAGAAGCUCAGUAUUAGUAGAGGUUCCGACAACACCCACCCGUUUGGGCUUGAGUCCGUGCCGCAAGACAUGUUCCAAGACAAUGAAGAAGUGUUGCAACGGCACUGAGUCCGAGUCCAGUUGGCGGCCAAACUUUAGG